rnacentral:rRNA from 1 species
GACGAACGCUGGCGGCGUACUUAACACAUGCAAGUCGAACGGAAAGGCCCUGCUUUUGUGGGGUGCUCGAGUGGCGAACGGGUGAGUAACACGUGAGUAACCUGCCCUUGACUUUGGGAUAACUUCAGGAAACUGGGGCUAAUACCGGAUAGGAGCUCCUGCUGCAUGGUGGGGGUUGGAAAGUUUCGGCGGUUGGGGAUGGACUCGCGGCUUAUCAGCUUGUUGGUGGGGUAGUGGCUUACCAAGGCUUUGACGGGUAGCCGGCCUGAGAGGGUGACCGGCCACAUGAGGACUGAGAUACGGCCCAGACUCCUACGGGAGGCAGCAGUGGGGAAUAUUGCACAAUGGGCGGAAGCCUGAUGCAGCAACGCCGCGUGCGGGAUGACGGCCUUCGGGUUGUAAACCGCUUUCGCCUGUGACGAAGCGUGAGUGACGGUAAUGGGUAAAGAAGCACCGGCUAACUACGUG